rnacentral:rRNA from 1 species
GGUUAAGCGACUAAGCGUACACGGUGGAUGCCCUGGCAGUCAGAGGCGAUGAAGGACGUGCUAAUCUGCGAAAAGCGUCGGUAAGGUGAUAUGAACCGUUAUAGCCGGCGAUGUCCGAAUGGGGAAACCCAGUGCAAUUCGUUGCACUAUCGUUAACUGAAUACAUAGGUUAACGAGGCGAACCGGGGGAACUGAAACAUCUAAGUACCCCGAGGAAAAGAAAUCAACCGAGAUUCCCCCAGUAGCGGCGAGCGAACGGGGAGCAGCCCAGAGUCUGAAUCAGCUUGUGUGUUAGUGGAACGGUCUGGAAAGUCCGACGGUACAGGGUGAUAGUCCCGUACACCAAAAUGCACAGGCUGUGAACUCGAAGAGUAGGGCGGGACACGUGGUAUCCUGUCUGAAUAUGGGGGGACCAUCCUCCAAGGCUAAAUACUCCUGACUGACCGAUAGUGAACCAGUACCGUGAGGGAAAGGCGAAAAGAACCCCGGCGAGGGGAGUGAAAAAGAACCUGAAACCGUGUACGUACAAGCAGUGGGAGCACCUUCGGGUGUGACUGCGUACCUUUUGUAUAAUGGGUCAGCGACUUAUAUUCUGUAGCAAGGUUAACCGUAUAGGGGAGCCGCAGGGAAACCGAGUCUUAACUGGGCGUUAAGUUGCAGGGUAUAGACCCGAAACCCGGUGAUCUAGCCAUGGGCAGGUUGAAGGUUGGGUAACACUAACUGGAGGACCGAACCGACUAAUGUUGAAAAAUUAGCGGAUGACUUGUGGCUGGGGGUGAAAGGCCAAUCAAACCGGGAGAUAGCUGGUUCUCCCCGAAAGCUAUUUAGGUAGCGCCUCGUGAACUCAUCUUCGGGGGUAGAGCACUGUUUCGGCUAGGGGGUCAUCCCGACUUACCAACCCGAUGCAAACUACGAAUACCGAAGAAUGUUAUCACGGGAGACACACGGCGGGUGCUAACGUCCGUCGUGAAGAGGGAAACAACCCAGACCGCCAGCUAAGGUCCCAAAGUCAUGGUUAAGUGGGAAACGAUGUGGGAAGGCACAGACAGCCAGGAUGUUGGCUUAGAAGCAGCCAUCAUUUAAAGAAAGCGUAAUAGCUCACUGGUCGAGUCGGCCUGCGCGGAAGAUGUAACGGGGCUAAACCAUGCACCGAAGCUGCGGCAGCGACACUAUGUGUUGUUGGGUAGGGGAGCGUUCUGUAAGCCUGCGAAGGUGUGCUGUGAGGCAUGCUGGAGGUAUCAGAAGUGCGAAUGCUGACAUAAGUAACGAUAAAGCGGGUGAAAAGCCCGCUCGCCGGAAGACCAAGGGUUCCUGUCCAACGUUAAUCGGGGCAGGGUGAGUCGACCCCUAAGGCGAGGCCGAAAGGCGUAGUCGAUGGGAAACAGGUUAAUAUUCCUGUACUUGGUGUUACUGCGAAGGGGGGACGGAGAAGGCUAUGUUAGCCGGGCGACGGUUGUCCCGGUUUAAGCAUGUAGGCUGGUUGUCCAGGCAAAUCCGGAUAAUCAAGGCUGAGGUGUGAUGACGAGGUACUACGGUGCUGAAGUAACAAAUGCCCUGCUUCCAGGAAAAGCCUCUAAGCAUCAGGUAACAUCAAAUCGUACCCCAAACCGACACAGGUGGUCAGGUAGAGAAUACCAAGGCGCUUGAGAGAACUCGGGUGAAGGAACUAGGCAAAAUGGUGCCGUAACUUCGGGAGAAGGCACGCUGGUGUGUAGGUGAAGUCCCUGCGGAUGGAGCUGAGACCAGUCGAAGAUACCAGCUGGCUGCAACUGUUUAUUAAAAACACAGCACUGUGCAAACACGAAAGUGGACGUAUACGGUGUGACGCCUGCCCGGUGCCGGAAGGUUAAUUGAUGGGGUUAUCCGUAAGGAGAAGCUCUUGAUCGAAGCCCCGGUAAACGGCGGCCGUAACUAUAACGGUCCUAAGGUAGCGAAAUUCCUUGUCGGGUAAGUUCCGACCUGCACGAAUGGCGUAAUGAUGGCCAGGCUGUCUCCACCCGAGACUCAGUGAAAUUGAACUCGCUGUGAAGAUGCAGUGUACCCGCGGCAAGACGGAAAGACCCCGUGAACCUUUACUAUAGCUUGACACUGAACAUUGAGCCUUGAUGUGUAGGAUAGGUGGGAGGCUUUGAAGCGUGGACGCCAGUCUGCGUGGAGCCAACCUUGAAAUACCACCCUUUAAUGUUUGAUGUUCUAACGUUGGCCCCUUACCGGGGUUGCGGACAGUGUCUGGUGGGUAGUUUGACUGGGGCGGUCUCCUCCCAAAGCGUAACGGAGGAGCACGAAGGUUAGCUAAUCCUGGUCGGACAUCAGGAGGUUAGUGCAAUGGCAUAAGCUAGCUUGACUGCGAGCGUGACGGCGCGAGCAGGUGCGAAAGCAGGUCAUAGUGAUCCGGUGGUUCUGAAUGGAAGGGCCAUCGCUCAACGGAUAAAAGGUACUCCGGGGAUAACAGGCUGAUACCGCCCAAGAGUUCAUAUCGACGGCGGUGUUUGGCACCUCGAUGUCGGCUCAUCACAUCCUGGGGCUGAAGUAGGUCCCAAGGGUAUGGCUGUUCGCCAUUUAAAGUGGUACGCGAGCUGGGUUUAGAACGUCGUGAGACAGUUCGGUCCCUAUCUGCCGUGGGCGCUGGAGAAUUGAGGGGGGCUGCUCCUAGUACGAGAGGACCGGAGUGGACGCAUCACUGGUGUUCGGGUUGUCAUGCCAAUGGCACUGCCCGGUAGCUAAAUGCGGAAGAGAUAAGUGCUGAAAGCAUCUAAGCACGAAACUUGCCCCGAGAUGAGUUCUCCCUGAGACUUUAAGUCUCCUGAAGGAACGUUGAAGACGACGACGUUGAUAGGCCGGGUGUGUAAGCGCAGCGAUGCGUUGAGCUAACCGGUACUAAUGAACCGUGAGGCUUAACCUU